UACAGAGGUGGCAAGCGUUGUUCGGAAUUACUGGGCGUAAAGGGCGUGUAGGCGGCUUCUUAAGUCAGACGUGAAAUCCCGCGGCUUAACCUGGGAACUGCGUCUGAUACUGGGAAGCUAGAGUUCGGGAGAGGGAUGUAGAAUUCCAGGUGUAGCGGUGAAAUGCGUAGAUAUCUGGAGGAAUACCGGUGGCGAAGGCGGCAUCCUGGACCGAAACUGACGCUGAAGCGCGAAAGCUAGGGGAGCAAACGGG
rnacentral:rRNA from 1 species